rnacentral:rRNA from 1 species
UACGGAGGGGGCGAGCGUUAUUCGGAAUUAUUGGGCGUAAAGGGCGCGUAGGCGGCUUGAUAAGUCAAAGGUGAAAUCCCUCGGCUCAACUGAGGAACUGCCUUUGAAACUGUCAGACUUGAGGCCGGGAGGGGGUAGCGGAAUUCCCAGUGUAGCGGUGAAAUGCGUAGAUACUGGGAGGAACACCGGUGGCGAAGGCGGCUACCUGGACCGGUUCUGACGCUGAGACGCGAAAGCGUGGGGAGCGAACAGG